CCUGGUGGCCAUAGCGUCGGUGUCCCACCCGAUCCCAUCCCGAACUCGGCCGUGAAACCCGAC
rnacentral:rRNA from 1 species